rnacentral:rRNA from 1 species
AGAGUUUGAUCCUGGCUCAGGAUGAACGCUGGCGGCGUGCCUAACACAUGCAAGUCGAACGGAGUUCUUAAGGAAUGCGACUUCGGUCAAAUGACUUUUGAACUUAGUGGCGGACGGGUGAGUAACGCGUGAGCAACCUGCCUUUCAGAGGGGGAUAACAUUUGGAAACAGAUGCUAAUACCGCAUAAGAUUACAGUACCGCAUGAUACAGUGAUCAAAGGAGCAAUCCGCUGAAAGAUGGGCUCGCGUCCGAUUAGAUAGUUGGUGAGGUAACGGCUCACCAAGUCGACGAUCGGUAGCCGGACUGAGAGGUUGAACGGCCACAUUGGGACUGAGACACGGCCCAGACUCCUACGGGAGGCAGCAGUGGGGAAUAUUGCACAAUGGGCGAAAGCCUGAUGCAGCAACGCCGCGUGAGGGAAGACGGUUUUCGGAUUGUAAACCUCUGUUUUCGGUGACGAAUAAAUGACGGUAACCGAGUAGGAAGCCACGGCUAACUACGUGCCAGCAGCCGCGGUAAUACGUAGGUGGCAAGCGUUAUCCGGAAUUACUGGGUGUAAAGGGAGCGCAGGCGGGAUAGCAAGUCAGCUGUGAAAACUAUGGGCUCAACCCAUAAACUGCAGUUGAAACUGUUAUUCUUGAGUGGAGUAGAGGCAAGCGGAAUUCCGAGUGUAGCGGUGAAAUGCGUAGAUAUUCGGAGGAACACCAGUGGCGAAGGCGGCUUGCUGGGCUCUAACUGACGCUGAGGCUCGAAAGUGUGGGGAGCAAACAGGAUUAGAUACCCUGGUAGUCCACACUGUAAACGAUGAUUGCUAGGUGUGGGGGGUCUGACCCCCU